GACGCGGUACGGCAUCUCCUCGGAGCGGGUCCAGGCGUCGAGGUCGAAGAACUGGCCGUCGCCGAUGACUUCGAGCACGGCGUCCUCGCCGUAGCGGCCGUUGAUCCGCUUCUCGGCGCGGCCCUGGGCGAUCACCCAGAGCCGAUCGUGGGCGUCGCCGUCCUGGGCCAGCAGCUGCCCGGCCUCGAACGUCACUUCCGUGAAGGCUCCGGCCAGUUCGGCCAGCAGGUCGUCGUCGGCCUCCCGGAGGUAGGGCAGUUCCCGAAGGUCGCCCGGGAUGAUGCGCGGUGAGCCGCCGUCCGUGUGGGUGCUGAUGCGGUCGUCACCGAGGACGUAGGUGCGACGCCGGUUGACGCGGAACACACCGGCCUCCACGUCCACCCACGGCAGGGCGCGCAGCAGAUAGCGCGGAGUGAUGCCGCGCAUCUGCGGGCUGGUCUUGGUCGUGGUCGCGAGCUGCCGUGCCGCGUCCGGGCCGAGGCUCAUCCGUUCGUUCAUG
rnacentral:antisense_RNA from 1 species